rnacentral:rRNA from 1 species
UGCAUUCGAAACUGGCAGGCUAGAGUCUUGUAGAGGGGGGUAGAAUUCCAGGUGUAGCGGUGAAAUGCGUAGAGAUCUGGAGGAAUACCGGUGGCGAAGGCGGCCCCCUGGACAAAGACUGACGCUCAGGUGCGAAAGCGUGGGGAGCAAACAGGAUUAGAUACCCUGGUAGUCCACGCCGUAAACGAUGUCGAUUUGGAGGUUGUGCCCUUGAGGCGUGGCUUCCGGAGCUAACGCGUUAAAUCGACCGCCUGGGGAGUACGGCCGCAAGGUUAAAACUCAAAUGAAUUGACGGGGGCCCGCACAAGCGGUGGAGCAUGUGGUUUAAUUCGAUGCAACGCGAAGAACCUUACCUGGUCUUGACAUCCACAGAACUUUCCAGAGAUGGAUUGGUGCCUUCGGGAACUGUGAGACAGGUGCUGCAUGGCUGUCGUCAGCUCGUGUUGUGAAAUGUUGGGUUAAGUCCCGCAACGAGCGCAACCCUUAUCCUUUGUUGCCAGCGGUUAGGCCGGGAACUCAAAGGAGACUGCCAGUGAUAAACUGGAGGAAGGUGGGGAUGACGUCAAGUCAUCAUGGCCCUUACGACCAGGGCUACACACGUGCUACAAUGGCAUAUACAAAGAGAAGCGACCUCGCGAGAGCAAGCGGACCUCAUAAAGUAUGUCGUAGUCCGGAUUGGAGUCUGCAACUCGACUCCAUGAAGUCGGAAUCGCUAGUAAUCGUAGAUCAGAAUGCUACGGUGAAUACGUUCCCGGGCCUUGUACACACCGCCCGUCACACCAUGGGAGUGGGUUGCAAAAGAAGUAGGUAGCUUAACCUUCGGGAGGGCGCUUACCACUUUGUGAUUCAUGACUGGGGUGAAGUCGUAACAAGGUAACCGUAGGGGAACCUGCGGUUGGAUCACCU